ensembl:lncRNA
AUCUUUCCAGCUAUAAUAUCUGUAAGUACCAUCCUAAUUGUGCUUUCCUUCCAACUGUACAUGUGCUGUUACACAUCAGUAAUCUUAUGUGUUGAGCACUAUCCUUUUCUUAAAGAAACUUCACUCAUAGCUGUACUGCAGGCCUCGUAUCUGUGAGCACAUCAAAAUGAAUGGAAAAACAGACACUUAUCUAAAUAAUCUGCCAGCUGAAUUUUAAGGUGUUAACAUGGAUUUCAGCAGGCCGCAGUUGAUCUUGUCCUUUUUGGUUACGCUGUGAUAGAACUAAAGUGUUCAUCUAGAAUAAGGUCUCAAGAGGCAUCUGUGUGAAUUUGGAGAUAAGCAUUUACGGAGGUGUUAUGUUCAGUCUUUUUAGAAAAGAUUAGCUACUAUUCCUUAGGCAGCAGGCACUGCAGUUUAUCCUCCAAGCAAGAUGUUUUCCCUGCGAUAGAAAACUUGUGCUUUACCACUUUCCUGAGUGUACCCUGAAACAACGAAGCCUUCCCUAGAGAGAAUGCCUGACUUUGGUAAUCUACUGCCAUGAAAAACUUGUCUUGGAUGCUCAUGGCCAGGUUGACUUCUGACUCUCCUGAAUGUCAGAAGGAAACACAGUUCAAACCUUUAUUGCUGCUGCUGCUGCCAGAAGACAAUGGAGUAUUUUCAAAGAACUCGUGUAACAAAUCCAUGGAGUACUUUGAAUUCCUCUAGUUUAUAAUGGACAAAACUACCUCCUCAUUCUGCCUCUUCUAAGGAAGACAUGAAAGUGACAGAUUUAAAGUACAUUUACAACUCCAUUGAGCCAGGAGGACUUGAUUGCAUUUUUCCGCAUAGGAGGGAGGUGUUGGGUAUGUGUGUGUUCUCAGAUGAUAUGUAGCUGUUGCCUUCUUUUCCAGAUGGCCUGUGAUGUCAUUGCUAAAGAUCUUGAAAUUUGUUGCAUGAAGAAAAUAGUUUCAUGGUCCUCAAGCAAGUUUUAAAAUGGUCUUUGCAUAAAUUUAAGAGACCAGGGAGACAGGAGAGUAAAUGGAAAGUGGCAGGAAGGAGCAAAGAUGAAGGUAUUCACAUCACUGAAUAGGUAAGGCAGGGGCAAAACCUCAUGAUGAGUAAAACAAGCUCAUCUGUAGAAGAUUCUGAAAAUUUCCAUCUACUCUCUGGUUACAAUUGGACCCAUUCCAAAGGAGAGUCCCCUGCUUUUUGAAAACAGUCACAUUGCUUAGUGAAGAUGGGACUGAGUUGAAAUGUGUCACCUGGCUCAAUGUAGUUUGCCUCUGGAGGAUGUCAGGAAUGCCUCUCGAUGGGAGAAGAAGGGACCUUAGCAGGUUUCUAGCUCUCUGCUCAUCAUCCCGCAGAGCUGAGUUCUAGUAAUAGCAGAUAGGGCUGGUGAAAGGCACCUACUGAUGCAAACAGCCUGAAUAACUCAGCUGGCAGAGUAAAACAGCUGGACAGUGCUUCUGUGGUGCUGAAUGAAUUGAAGGGCUGGGCUUGCUGUAAGACCAGCUCCUGGAGAUGGGAGAGGCAGACGUCUGUCAUAAAAUCAUAUAAUCAUAUAAACAUAGAAUGGCUUAGGUUGGAAGGAACCUUAAAGAUUCAGUUCCAACCUCCCUGCCAUGGGCAG